UACGUAGGGUGCGAGCGUUAAUCGGAAUUACUGGGCGUAAAGCGUGCGCAGGCGGUUCGCUGUGUCCGAUGUGAAAGCCCCGGGCUUAACCUGGGAAUGGCAUCGGAAACUGGCGGGCUUGAGUGUGGCAGAGGGGGGUGGAAUUCCGCGUGUAGCAGUGAAAUGCGUAGAGAUGCGGAGGAACACCGAUGGCGAAGGCAGCCCCCUGGGCUAACACUGACGCUCAGGCACGAAAGCGUGGGGAGCAAACAGG
rnacentral:rRNA from 1 species